ACACACACACACACACACACACACACACACACACACACACAGACACAAACACACAAACAGAGACACACACACACACACUAAGGAUUUUUUAAAUGUUGUAGAGGAGACUCAUGUUGCAUAAUGCCUGCACAAAUACUGAAUAAAAUAAAAACCAAACAUAGUUAUAAUAAUACUGUAAUAAUGUGUGUCUGUUCACUCUAAAUACUUUCAAAAUAAAGUGAGAUUUUUUUUUGGGUUUGAUUGUCAGCAGCGCCGCCCAGUGUUCAAACU